rnacentral:rRNA from 1 species
UCCUGGCUCAGAACGAACGCUGGCGGCAGGCCUAACACAUGCAAGUCGAGCGAGGACUUCGGUUCUAGCGGCGGACGGGUGAGUAGCGCGUGGGAACGUGCCCUUCACUACGGAAUAGUCCCGGGAAACUGGGUUUAAUACCGUAUACGCCCUUCGGGGGAAAGAACUUCGGUGAAGGAUCGGCCCGCGUCUGAUUAGGUAGUUGGUGGGGUAACGGCCUACCAAGCCUACGAUCAGUAGCUGGUUUGAGAAGAUGAUCAGCCACACUGGGACUGAGACACGGCCCAGACUCCUACGGGAGGCAGCAGUGGGGAAUCUUAGACAAUGGGGGCAACCCUGAUCUAGCCAUGCCGCGUGAGUGACGAAGGCCCUAGGGUCGUAAGGCUCUUUCACCAGGGAAGAUAAUGACGGUACCUGGAGAAGAAACCCCGGCUAACUCCGUGCCAGCAGCCGCGGUAAUACGGAGGGGGUUAGCGUUGUUCGGAAUUACUGGGCGUAAAGCGCGCGUAGGCGGACUGUUAAGUCAGGGGUGAAAUCCCGGGGCUCAACCCCGGAACUGCCCUUGAUACUGGCAGUCUCGAGUUCGAGAGAGGUGAGUGGAACUCCGAGUGUAGAGGUGAAAUUCGUAGAUAUUCGGAAGAACACCAGUGGCGAAGGCGGCUCACUGGCUCGAUACUGACGCUGAGGUGCGAAAGUGUGGGGAGCAAACAGGAUUAGAUACCCUGGUAGUCCACACCGUAAACGAUGAAUGCCAGACGUCGGGCAGCAUGCUGUUCGGUGUCACACCUAACGGAUUAAGCAUUCCGCCUGGGGAGUACGGCCGCAAGGCUUAAACUCAAAGGAAUUGACGGGGGCCCGCACAAAGCGGUGGAGCAUGUGGUUUA